rnacentral:rRNA from 1 species
AUGUUGCUUCGGCAGGCCCGCCGGUUGGCAGACUUCGGUCUCCGUCCGGCCGCCGGGGGUCCUCGUGACCCCGGGCCCGUGCCUGUCGAUGGCCCUUAUCAAAACUCUUGUUACAACCGUGUCGUCUGAGUAUAACAAAACAAAUAAAAACAAAACUUUCAACAACGGAUCUCUUGGUUCUGGCAUCGAUGAAGAACGCAGCGAAAUGCGAUAAGUAAUGCGAAUUGCAGAAUCCGUGAGUCAUCGAAUCUUUGAACGCACAUUGCGCCCUUUGGUAUUCCGAAGGGCAUGCCUGUUCGAGCGUCAUUAUCACCCCUCAAGCUCAGCUUGUUGUUGGAACGUGGCGGGGCCCCCCUUCAUCGGGCGGGCCUCGCCCUUCCCAAAGAUAAUGACGGCGUCUGUGAGGACUCCUGUACACUGAGCUUUCGGGCACGUACCAGGCUAGAAGUCCAGACCCGGUCUUUACCCAAAAUUUAUCUAAAUUUUAACUUCUAAGGUUGACCUCGGAUCAGGUAGGAAUACCCGCUGAACUUAAGCAUAUCAAUAAGCGGAGGAAAAGAAACCAACAGGGAUUGCCCCAGUAACG